GACGAACGCUGGCGGCGUGCUUAACACAUGCAAGUCGAACGGAAAGGCCCUGCUUUUGUGGGGUGCUCGAGUGGCGAACGGGUGAGUAACACGUGAGUAACCUGCCCUUGACUUUGGGAUAACUUCAGGAAACUGGGGCUAAUACCGGAUAGGAGCUCCUGCUGCAUGGUGGGGGUUGGAAAGUUUCGGCGGUUGGGGAUGGACUCGCGGCUUAUCAGCUUGUUGGUGGGGUAGUGGCUUACCAAGGCUUUGACGGGUAGCCGGCCUGAGAGGGUGACCGGACCGAGGCGGACUGCGACGCGUGCGCGGUCCGGCGGCGAGUCGGCGGUGGGAAGUAUCGCGCGCGGGGCGCGAGGCGGGUGUGAGUCCCGCGCGUGCGGGAGGUCGGCCGUCUGGGUCGAACCUGCUGGGGCGGGGGGCGGAGAGGGAGUGGUGGUGGGGGAUAAGACAGCACCGGCUAAAGACGCGCCAGGGGCGGCAGUAAGAGGGGGAGGAUGACGCGCUCGCCC
rnacentral:rRNA from 1 species